AACGAACGUUGGCGGCAUGGAUGAGGCAUGCAAGUCGCGGGAAUCCCCAGCAAUGGGGGGAACCGGCGUAAGGGGCAGUAAGGCGUAGGUACCUACCCCGUGGUCCGGGAUAGCCCGCCGAGAGGCGGGGUAAUACCGGAUGACCUCGGGAGAGCAAAGCUCCGGCGCCAUGGGCGGGGCCUACGUGAUAUUACCUAGUUGGCGGGGUAACGGCCCACCAAGGGGGAGAUGUCUAGCGGGUGUGAGAGCACGACCCGCGCCACUCGCACUGAGACGCGUGCGAGAGACCUACGGGUGGCUGCAGUGGAGGAUCUUCGGCGAUGGGGGCAACCCUGACCGAGCGAUGCCGCGUGGGCGACGAAGGACUUCGGGUUGUAAAGCCCUGUCGAGGGGGAGAAAGCCGCAAGGCGGAUCCAUCCCUGGAGGAAGCUCGAGCUAAGUUCGUGCCAGCCGCCGCGGUAA
rnacentral:rRNA from 1 species